AGGACGAACGCUGGCGGCGUGCGUAACACAUGCAAGUCGAACGAGUGUAGCAAUACACGAGUGGCGGACGGGUGAGGAACACGUGGCUACCAACCUGGCACUGGGGAAUACCCGUGAGAAAUCAUGGUUAAUACCGCAUACGCCCGCAAGGGGAAAGUCGCAAGACGGUGCGAGACGGGGCUGCGCCCGAUUAGCUAGUUGGUGGGGUAAUGGCCUACCAAGGCGUCGAUCGGU
rnacentral:rRNA from 1 species